rnacentral:rRNA from 1 species
UUUCCCUCAGGAUAGCUGGAGCACGUGCAUUUCGAGCCUUAUUCUUAUCUGGUAAAGCGAAUGAUUAGAGGCCUUAGGUUCGAAAUGAUCUUAACCUAUUCUCAAACUAUAAAUGGGUACGGUAUUGGGUUGCAUACUUUGAUGAANNNNNNNNNNNNNNNNNNNNNNNNNUGUGUGGUAGCCGGUACCCGGGUAUUGGCACAUGGUACCGACACCGGCUAAAGGAAAUUUUCCAGAUAUACUGCUGGGCAAGUGUUGAUAAUAAACAUGAAAUGAUAAUAGAAACGAAAACCGAAAUGAAAGCCCUGAGUUACAGGUCGGUUUGGGAGAACCGGUACGGACGCUGAGCAGUUGUUGGAGGAUUUCUCUUUUUCUCUCUGAUGCCGUGAGGGGUUGUAAAUGUUAUUCAUUUUCGAUGAAAAAUUUAUGAACUCACACAGCACGCAGCGCUGUACUCCCGGGUUAGGGAAAAGAUGGCAUCCAAAAUUUUAAAGCAUGUUUCC